rnacentral:rRNA from 1 species
AAUCUACCUAGUAGAAGGGGAUAGCCCGGGGAAACUCGGAUUAAUACCGUAUACCUCCUUAGGGAGAAAGAGGGCUUAGCUUUGAUGCUCUCGCUAUUAGAUGAGCCUGCGUAAGAUUAGCUUGUUGGUGAGGUAAUGGCUCACCAAGGCGACGAUCUUUAGCUGGUCUGAGAGGACGAUCAGCCACAUUGGGACUGAGACACGGCCCAGACUCCUACGGGAGGCAGCAGUGGGGAAUAUUGGACAAUGGGCGCAAGCCUGAUCCAGCCAUACCGCGUGUGUGAAGAAGGCUUUCGGGUUGUAAAGCACUUUAAGUAAGGAGGAAAAGAUUGUAGUUAAUACCUACAAUCCGUGACGUUACUUACAGAAUAAGGACCGGCUAAUUCCGUGCCAGCAGCCGCGGUAAUACGGAAGGUCCAAGUGU